rnacentral:tRNA from 5 species
GCCGGGGUAGCCGAGCGGUUAGGCGGCGGGCUGCAGACCCGCUUUACAGGGGUUCGAAUCCCCUCCCCGGCU